CCUACGGGAGGCAGCAGCAAGGAAUUUUGCACAAUGGGGGAAACCCUGAUGCAGCAACGCCGCGUGGAGGAUGAAGCCCUUUGGGGCGUAAACUCCUUUCGAUCGGGACGAUUAUGACGGUACCGGAAGAAGAAGCACCGGCUAACUCUGUGCCAGCAGCCGCGGUAAU
rnacentral:rRNA from 1 species